UACGAAGGGGGCUAGCGUUGCUCGGAAUUACUGGGCGUAAAGGGCGCGUAGGCGGCACUGUUAGUCAGGCGUGAAAGUCCUGGGCUCAACCUGGGAACUGCGCUUGAUACGGCAGAGCUAGAGGAUGGAAGAGGCUCGCGGAAUUCCCAGUGUAGAGGUGAAAUUCGUAGAUAUUCGGAGGAACACCAGUGGCGAAGGCGGCUCACUGGUCCGGUACUGACGCUGAGGUGCGAAAGCCAGGGGAGCAAACGGG
rnacentral:rRNA from 1 species